GAGAAUUUGAUCGUGGUUCAGGAUGAACGUUGGCGGCGUGCCUAAGGUAUGCAAGUCGAGCGCCCCGCUAAUUUAUAGUAUGAGAGAAAUCGUAUUAUAGAUUAGUGGGGAGCGGCGAACGGGUGAGUAAUGCAUGGGUAAUCUUCCUUGAAGUCAGGAAUAGCUCUCUGAAAAGAGAAGUAAUACCUGAUGGUCCAUAUUUGUCUAUGACUUUUAUGGUAAAGUUCAGACGCUUCAAGAUGAGCCCCUGUCCUAUCAGCUUGUUGGUGAGGUAAUGGCCCACCAAGGCGAAGACGGGUAGCUGGUGUGAGAGCAUGUACAGCCACAGUGGGACUGCGACACGGCCCACACUCCUACGGGAGGCAGCAAUUAGGAAUCUUGCGCAAUGGGGGCAACCCUGACGCAGCGACGCCGCGUGGAGGACGAAGGUCUUCGGAUUGUAAACUCCUUUUAUACGGGAAGAAACACUGACGGUACCGUAUGAAUAAGUACCUGCUAACUACGUGCCAGAAGCAUCGGUGAUGCGUAGGGUACAAACGUUAUCCGGAUUCAUUGGGCGUAAAGAGAUGCGUAGGCGUCUUAGUAAGUCAAAUGUCAAAUCCCGUCGCUUAACGUCGGACAGGCAUUUGAUACUGCUUAGAUUGAGACAGAAAGGGGUGAGCGGAAUUCCCGGUGUAGCGGUAAAAUGCGUUGAUAUCGGGAGGAACACCAGAGGCGAAGGCGGCUCACUGGUUCUGUUCUGACGCUGAGGCUCGAAAGCGUGGGGAUCAAAACGGAUUAGAUACCCGUGUAGUCCACGCUGUAAACGAUGGAUGCUGGGUGUUUGAUACGACUGAAAUAAUCUUUCGAGAUAAUUUUGGAAGUAUUGAGUGCCGAAGUUAACGCGUUAAGCAUCCCGCCUGGGAAGUACGGCCGCAAGGCUAAAACUCAAACGAAUUGGCGGGGAGGCGCACAAGCAGAGGAGCGCGUGGUUUAAUUCGAUGGUAAUCGAAGAACCUUACCAGGGUUUGAAAUGUAUGUGGUAGUGAUCCGAAAGGUGAUCAACCCCGCUUUUUGAAGUUCAGUCAGUCCGCUCUGCAUAUGGACUCAGAAAAAUGAACUUUAAAAAGCGGGGAGCAUACACAGGUGUUGCAUGGCCGUCGUCAGCUCGUGUCGUGAGAUGUAGGGUUAAGUCCCGAAACGAGCGCAACCCCUAUCCUAUGUUACAAGUGUCUUAGGAAACUGCUACGGUAAAACGUGGAGGAAGGAGGGGAUGACGUCUGGUCCGCAUGACCCUUAUGUCCUGGGCGACACACGCGCUACAAUGGUCGGUACAAUGGGCAGCCAAGCCGUAAGGUGGAGCUAAUCUCAUAAAGCCGAUCUCAGUUCAGAUUGAGGUCUGCAAUUCGACCUCAUGAAGUUGGAUUUGCUAGUAAUCGUGGAUCAGCCAUGCCGCGGUGAAUACGUUCUCGCCUCUUGCACACACCGCCCGUCAAGUCAUGGAAGCAGGUAGUACCCGAAGGCAUCUCGACCACUUUGUUGCUGAAAGUUUCGGCGAUAAUGUGGUUGGGGUGACGAAGGUAAGAUCUGUGACUGGGACUAAGUCGUAACAAGGUAGCCGUAGGGGAAUCUGCGGCUGAAUUACCUCCUUUCU
rnacentral:rRNA from 1 species